rnacentral:rRNA from 1 species
GUGGGGAAUCUUCCGCAAUGGACGAAAGUCUGACGGAGCAACGCCGCGUGAGUGAUGAAGGUCUUCGGAUUGUAAAGCUCUGUUAAUCGGGACGAAAGAGCCUAGUGUGAAUAAUGCUAGGAAGUGACGGUACCGGAAUAGAAAGCCACGGCUAACUACGUGCCAGCAGCCGCGGUAAUACGUAGGUGGCAAGCGUCGUCCGGAAUUAUUGGGCGUAAAGCGCGCGCAGGCGGAUCUGCCAGUCUGUCUUAAAAGUUCGGGGCUUAACCCCGUGAUGGGAUGGAAACUACAGAUCUAGAGUAUCGGAGAGGAAAGUGGAAUUCCUAGUGUAGCAGUGAAAUGCGUAGAUAUUAGGAAGAACACCAGUGGCGAAGGCGACUUUCUGGACGAAAACUGACGCUGAGGCGCGAAAGCCAGGGGAGCGAACGGGAUUAGAUAACCUUGUAGUCC